UGCUUUUAGUACUAGUGGUAGAGUGCUAAGUGAUCAUCGAAGUCGACUUACUCCCAAAACUUUAGAGGUUUUGAUGUGUGCACAAAAUUGGCUUCGUGUUGGUCAAGCAAAAGGAAAAGAAGAUUAUAUGGGUUUGUGGACUUGUCUUGAAGAUAUACAAGAAGAACUUGUGGAACUCUCCUUUGGAUUCUCCAC